rnacentral:rRNA from 1 species
GACGUAGGGCGCGAGCGUUGUCCGGAUUUAUUGGGCGUAAAGAGCUCGUAGGCGGCUUGUCGCGUCGAAUGUGAAAACCCGAGGCUCAACUUCGGGCUUGCAUUCGAUACGGGCAGGCUCGAGUUCGGUAGGGGAGACUGGAAUUCCUGGUGUAGCGGUGAAAUGCGCAGAUAUCAGGAGGAACACCGGUGGCGAAGGCGGGUCACUGGGCCGAUACUGACGCUGAGGAGCGAAAGCGUGGGGAGCGAACAGG